rnacentral:misc_RNA from 1 species
AGUUUAAAUCUAAAUAACAUCCAACCAAUCAAUGAGACGAUUAGAGUAGAGAAUUA